UUUCCUCGAACAAACAGCAAUUCAGAAUC
rnacentral:sRNA from 1 species